GGCCGUGUGCCCGAGUGGCUCAGGGGACCGUCUGCAAAGCGGUGCACGCGGGUUCAAUUCCCGCCACGGCCUCGA
rnacentral:tRNA from 2 species